CCUACGGGAGACAGCAGUGGGGAAUAUUGCACAAUGGGGGAAACCCUGAUGCAGCGACGCCGCGUGAGUGAAGAAGUAUUUCGGUACGUAAAGCUCUAUCAGCAGGGAAGAAAAUGACGGUACCUGACUAAGAAGCCCCGGCUAACUACGUGCCAGCAGCCGCGGUAAUACGUAGGGGGCAAGCGUUAUCCGGAUUUACUGGGUGUAAAGGGAGCGUAGACGGCAGCGCAAGUCUGGAGUGAAAUCCCAUGGCUUAACCAUGGAACUGCUUUGGAAACUGUGCAGCUAGAGUGCAGGAGAGGUAAGCGGAAUUCCUAGUGUAGCGGUGAAAUGCGUAGAUAGUAGGAGGAACACCAGUGGCGAAGGCGGCUUACUGGACUGUAACUGACGUUGAGGCUCGAAAGCGUGGGGAGCAAACAGGAUUAGAUACCCUUGUAGUC
rnacentral:rRNA from 1 species